AGAAGAAGAAGCAGAAGAAGGCAGCAACCUGAACCUGUCAAUUGAGCUGGACCUAACAAGACAUAAUGCCUGAAGUCAAGUCGAUGUUCAGAGAAGUGUUGCCUAAACAAGUUGUCCAUGGAGGACGUCCCCACCAUGGUGCUGUGUAAGCCCAAGCUGCUGCCUCUGAAAUCAGUCACCCUGGAGAAACUGGAGAAG